GACACUUUGCGUUGAAUGCUGAUCUGAUUUCGUUCUCCAGUGCUGCAGCUCACUAGUAUCAAAAGGAGACAGAGGGUUUGUGGCUAAUUUUAGGAUCCUGCUCACAAGGCAAACAUGUCGAAGUUGCCACUGUACCUGGCCGCCAUUUUGGUGGUUGUCAUGACAUCAAGUGACGCCCAAUGCAACAACAGCUGUUUGACCGCUGUGCGAAGUUGCAUCCGGGUAUGCAAGGAUCGUUGUGACGACAAUUGUUUAAUCGGUUGCCGAAA